CAACUAGUUUUUCUUAAAACUACAAAAAUGUAAAAGUACAUUUUUU
rfam:Solenopsis invicta Si_gnG.contig28030, whole genome shotgun sequence.